UUGACAACGACGCGAUGCGAUUACUGGUUACUAAAAAGACGGCAAAUAGCCACUAAAGCCUAAACAUGCAUGAAUAGAUAAAAUCGUAAUUUGUACCAAACGCAAAUGAUGACACGUGUUACGUUACAGGCAUGUUUGUAAUAUUUAUGAGGAGUGUUUUGUUUCCCGUGCUUUGAAAUAGAGUGGUACGGUCCAAUAGUAUUGAAGGCAAAGCUAAAAAAAAUCGGUUUGUUUUCACUGAGAGGAAGAAGCGUCGCUGUAAUUCGCUGCUGCAGCUCCCAUUUUUAAAAAAAAAAGGUUGUAACAUUUAUUUUAUAGCUGGUCGCGUUUCGGUCAGCAGCUUCCUCUGCUCGCCAUGGCUCUGUGCGGGGGUGUCGGAGCCAUGGCUUUGCCCAGCGAGCUCAUCGUCCACAUAUUCUCUUUUCUGUCCGACCGAGACAAGCUCCGGGCCUCGGCCGUGUGCUCGCGAUGGAGGGAGUGCCUCUUCUACCCGGCGCUGUGGACCGAGCUCAAACUGCGGAUAGGUGGCGGUUGCAACGGCGGCGGCUCCAGCUCCGAGGAGACCCCAAAGCUAGAGUUCCUCAUGCGCAAGUUCGGCUCCUUCGUGCGGGAGCUGCAGCUGGAGCUCGCGCCGGUGGAGGGUUACCUGAGCCCUCUGAACAGCGACCCGUCGUCCACCAGGAUGGACCAGCCCGACAGCGACCCGCAGCUCUCCGAGCGAUGGAGGGACGCCAUGGCCACCUACUUGGACCAGGUGCUGUGUGUGUUCUCCAGCAUCCGCAACAACAGAAACCUGCGGAAACUGAGUCUGUAUGGAGACACCUGUGUUCUCCAGCAGGAGGGACUUUUGGACCGCUCCAACCUGCACCAAAUUCACCAGGGGGACAAAAAGAUCAAUGAAAUCCAGCAGUUGUUCAUGGAGUUGCUGUCUAACGGCAGGCAGCUCAGGUGGCUGUCCUGUAGCUUCAUGCUGGGUCUGGUGACCCCCAGUUCCUUAGCCUCCCUAUCAAAUCCUUCAGCGGAGACCCUGCAGCACCUCAGUUUACUGGACCACCAGCUGGGUCCCCUCAUCUCACCGUCAGAGUUGGAUCGUCUAUCUAAUCUUCAUUCUUUGUCUGUGGAUUUCGCUGAUUUCACAUCUGAGCUUUGCGCUCUGCUGGCGUCUCCUCAGCGAACUCCGCUGCAUCGCCUCUCUCUGUUGCUCAACGGCGCCGCUCUGGAAUUCAAACCGCUGGAAGGCACCGCUACCGAGGACGAUUGGAAAGCACUGAUUCGCGUGAGUGCCAACCUGCGUGUGUACAUCAUGGCCCUGGAGGUCGACAGCUCGGAGCUCCUCAGGGUCCUAAAGCCCAGCCUGCCUCUGGAGCGCCUCCACCUCGACAGUUACAGCUCGCUGGUGACCGACGCCACACUGGAGCUCAUAUCUCAGCAGUACAACAAAACGCUGACUCACUUCCUGCUCCUGAGGGACGACCCCGACUUCCCCGACCUCAGCGUCAAUCGGAACGAAGACCCGCUCGUCCUCUUGUCAUGGAGAUGUACUCAGCUGGCUGUACUGGUGAUACAUGGUUACACUGUUUGGUCCCAUAAUUUGGUGGCCAUUUCCCGGCUGCGGGGCUCCAACCUCCGUAUCCUGACCGUCUCCGAGGAGAGCAUCGACUUCGAUCCUGACCAGUCGGUGAGCAUUGAGGGCGACCCGGUGCACAACCUGGUGAAGGAGGUUUCUCUGGGUCUCGGCCGCGUCUGGCACCCCUGCCUGGAUUCCAGCCUGGUUUUGUCCGAGCCCACCCAGCACUUCCACCGCGAGCUGCACACCUUCAGCGUCGGCAUGUAGGGGGGAAUGGCAAGUCCAACACGUCGCAGCCUAGACUGCGUCAAGACCAGACCAGACCAAAGUCCAAGUCAACUCGGACCUCUGAACCAGGCCAAACGAAGACCGAACCAGCUUUUUAUGACCACGAUCUCCGCGUAUUGGUGAAGUAAAGAGAAGAAACGACAACAUGGCACUGAAAGCAUGACCUGGCCAAACUCACGUCCACGGCACACGCCUCCGGAAUCCCGCGAGGCGCCCGGCUACAUCGAUAGAUACCCGUGCUCAGUGUCCGCCAACUGUCUUCAUGUAGAUCUCGGGGGCCCACGUGGCUUCCGGCCGCGAAACAAAGUCUUUCUUGUCAAGUCUGGAGAGCCAAACCUAAUUAGCCAGGCGGGCCUGCUGCCCAGUCCAGCUGCACAACUAUGCAAGAGGAAUGCAUAUAAUCCACAGACGUCUCUAUUUUUGUUUUUUUUAUUUUCUCUCACUGUCACACAGUAGAAAUAGAGACGCGAGCUAUUAAGAACGUGCAACAACAAUACUUGGCCUUAUGAUGAUUUCUGAAAUCUACUUGUUUUAUCUGGGGGUUUUUUUGGGUUUGAGAUCUUCGUGAUUCCGGUCAGCCAGCCCGGCGACGGCAGCGGUGACGGCGGGGCUCACUCUUGGUCUCUGUGAGACCGGAUAGACGGCCCCAGUUUUAUCGUGGUACGAAUGUUGUGCAUUUGUUUAAAAUCAGGACAGUUUGCAAUAACAGCAGUCUUACUGGUGGCCACAAAGGGGCACGAGCAGUGCUGACAGCGCCUCGGCUGCGUCUUUAGAAAACGAUAGAGGAAGAAAUAUAAAUAGAUCUAUAUAUAGAUAGAUAUAUAUAAACUCACACAGUGCAUAUUUGUAUUAGGUAUAAACAAUGCAUUACCGUGGUAUACUCUUAUGCAACACAUGUCCGGGGGUUCAAUUUAUGAACAUGAAGUAUAUAAUGAAAUCACACAGACUUUGUACAUCCGGGGAAAAGCUACAUCGUCGCCUGUUUGUGUGUUGUUUUUUUUUUGCGAUAAAUGGUUGGACCAUCCUUAAUGUUGAAUAUUCUGGGCGUUCUGUUCCUGUGUGAUUUGUGUGUGUUGUAGUGAGCACAUAGCAGUGGGUUCUCUCUGUAGGCAGGGAAGCAGACCAAAAGCCCAACACACAGCUGGACCCCACUGUCAAAUCGCAUGGAGAAUCUUUUUAAAUGCAGUUCAUUAGUUUUUCUUAAAAAGAACCAACAACAAAAACGUUGAAUCUAAUCCAUACGUGGUUUUAGAAACGUCCCGAGUGCGAGCAGCUGCGUGGAUCAAGACUUAAUCCGACCGGGAAAAGAAAAGCUCCUCUUACAAGAACUCCCCUCGGUUUGGCUGCACGUGAGAACGUUGCGGUCGAGAACUGGGCUUCAUCUACGCCUGCUCUAUAUAUUAAAUAUGAAAUAAUUCAAAACUUUAAUUUGAGACCUUUGCAGCUGUUUUUUUUUUUUUAGUCUGCAGGGAAAGAGUCCUCUCCCGCUGAGGGGACAGAUUUUAUCAUAGUGUCAAUCCAUGGUUCUGUUGAGGAGAAAACCUCCAUGUAAGACCUCUUAACUGAUGGGGUACACUUGAGGGGGGGUUAAUAUGCCGAAUGUUGAUUUGAAUUAAUGUUGAAUGAAUGCUUCUCUUCUUUUAGUCAGUGAAUAAAAGCAUAAAAAAGUU